rnacentral:rRNA from 1 species
UACAGAGGGGGCAAGCGUUGUUCGGAAUUACUGGGCGUAAAGGGCGCGUAGGCGGCCUGCUAAGUCGAACGUGAAAUCCCUGGGCUCAACCCAGGAACUGCGUCCGAUACUGGUUGGCUUGAAUCCGGGAGAGGGACGUGGAAUUCCAGGUGUAGCGGUGAAAUGCGUAGAUAUCUGGAGGAACACCGGUGGCGAAGGCGACGUCCUGGACCGGCAUUGACGCUGAGGCGCGAAAGCCAGGGGAGCAAACGGGAUUAGAAACCCCCGUAGUCC